GAUGAAGCUGGAGCUUGCUCCGGUGGAUUAGUGGCGAACGGGUGAGUAACACGUGAGAAAUCUGCCCCUGACUCUGGGAUAACUGCGGGAAACUGUAGCUAAUACCGGAUACUUUCCCUGGUGGGCAUCCACUGGGGAAGAAAGAAUUUCGGUCAGGGAGGAUCUCGCGGCCUAUCAGCUAGUUGGUGAGGUAACGGCUCACCAAGGCGACGACGGGUAACCGGCCUGAGAGGGUGACCGGUCACACUGGGACUGAGACACGGCCCAGACUCCUACGGGAGGCAGCAGUGGGGAAUAUUGCACAAUGGGCGCAAGCCUGAUGCAGCAACGCCGCGUGAGGGAUGAAGGCCUUCGGGUUGUAAACCUCUUUUAGCAGGGAAGAAGCGAAAGUGACGGUACCUGCAGAAAAAGCACCGGCUAACUACGUGCCAGCAGCCGCGGUAAUACGUAGGGUGCAAGCGUUGUCCGGAAUUAUUGGGCGUAAAGAGCUCGUAGGCGGUUUGUCACGUCUGCUGUGAAAAUCCAAGGCUCAACCUUGGACUUGCAGUGGGUACGGGCAGGCUAGGGUGCGGUAGGGGAGAUGGGAAUUCCUGGUGUAGCGGUGGAAUGCGCAGAUAUCAGGAGGAACACCAAUGGCGAAGGCACAUCUCUGGGCCGUAACUGACGCUGAGGAGCGAAAGCGUGGGGAGCGAACAGGAUUAGAUACCCUGGUAGUCCACGCCGUAAACGGUGGGUGCUAGCUGUGGGCCACAUUCCACGUGGUCCGUGACGAAGUUAACACAUUAAGCACCCCGCCUGGGGAGUACGGCCGCAAGGCUAAAACUCAAGGAAUUGACGGGGGCCCGCACAAGCGGCGGAGCAUGCGGAUUAAUUCGAUGCAACGCGAAGAACCUUACCAAGGCUUGACAUAUAGAGGAAAAGUGCAGAAUGCACUCCCCGCAAGGUCUC
rnacentral:rRNA from 1 species